rnacentral:sRNA from 2 species
AACGAUUUGUUUUGUGAAAAGAACCUUGAUUACAUCACCCAAAUAUGCCUAACUAUAUCUGAUAUGCAGGGAGUUGGCAUAAGCCGUGUUGCGUUGUGGCUCAACUUACUUACCCCUCCUCACGACGUCAGAUGCCGAACCGGCAGCAUGGAAUAUUAUUGGGAAAAGGAUUACGGAAACUCUUUUAUGACAGCAAUGCUAGCAACCAGGCCUUAAAUAAAGGAAAUGAUCCUGACCCUGGGCCGUCGCAUUGUAUCUGGGCAUUUUCUUAGAACGGGUUUAAUUAAUACUCGUACUCUCCAAAGACUCACAACGAUAAGAGUCCCCACGCUCCCAUCACGAAGACAGGUAUUCUAGGCUUCCGUACUGGCUGUCAGUCAAAUAUGCCAAUGUGAGUACAUCGCUGCUAUGUAUUUUUGUAAUUAAUUAAUUGUUGUCGAUAUAUGCAUACACCUCUAUAUAGACUCUCUCAGAUAUAUAUGCUCACCAUACUUCUCGCUCACCUCUAUAUCGAUUCGCCUCGUUUUCUCGAAGACAAAUUCACACGCCUGUCCCCAGCUAAUGAAAGCGUUAUUACGUCCCUAAUCACUAACUAAGAAAAUACACAGGAAACUCGACGGAAGCUGCCAAUGCGGUGGUGUACAAUUUACACUUGACUCGCAGACGCCAGUCCCCUAUCAACUCUGCGCCUGCAGCAUCUGCCGCAAGGUAGGCGGAUACAGCGGAAGCGUGAACCUGGGAGGAAUUGCCGACUCCCUCAAUGUGCUGCAGGGGAAAGAAUUGAUUAAAAAAUACACUGCCGUUAAAGACCGCGGCACGCCUCGCGAAGAACUCUGCUCCUCCGAGCGUAGCUUCUGCUCAAACUGCAGCACUAUGCUGUGGGUAUGGGACAAGCACUGGCCCGAGCUGAUACACCCGUUCGCCGCGGCGAUUGAUACCGAGCUGCCGGUGCCCGAGGAGAUGGUGUGUGUACUUGCGGACUCGAAGCCGGCUUGGGUGCGCUGGCCUGAGGGAAGGAAGAGCGUGCAUGAGAAGUAUGGUGGGGAUAGUUUGGAGGAGUAUCAUAAGAAGAAUGGGUUGUGGGUGGACUGAGUGAGAGAAAUGUAGAUUUUUUGAAGGGUUGAGACGGAACGGACGAGGUUGCUGGAUGUAGUGUGGAGUUUGGAAAGAGAACGUGGAAAUUUGGAGAUGUAAUUUUACAAAGUAUAUAUAUGUUUCAUUGCUCAUUAAAACUAUGAACUAUCUUAUGUAUGCAUGAUGCGUGAGUGAGUAUGCGACGAAACUGUUAUGCCACUCACCCAGAAUCAAAUAUGGGGCCUAAAUUGAAAUCUUUUACACCUGUUAGCAGC